rnacentral:rRNA from 1 species
CCUACGGGAGGCAGCAGUGGGGGAUAUUGCACAAUGGGGGGAACCCUGAUGCAGCGACGCCGCGUGGGUGAAGAAGCGCCUCGGCGCGUAAAGCCCUGUCAGCAGGGAAGAAAAUGACGGUACCUGAAGAAGAAGCCCCGGCUAACUACGUGCCAGCAGCCGCGGUAAUACGGAGGGGGCAAGCGUUAUCCGGAUUUACUGGGGGGAAAGGGGGCGCAGGCGGCGAUGCAAGCCAGGAGUGAAAGCCCGGGGCCCAACCCCGGGACUGCUCUUGGAACUGCGUGGCUGGAGUGCAGGAGGGGCAGGCGGAAUUCCUGGUGUAGCGGUGAAAUGCGUAGAUAUCAGGAGGAACACCGGUGGCGAAGGCGGCCUGCUGGACUGCAACUGACGUUGAGGCCCGAAAGCGUGGGGAGCAAACAGGAUUAGAUACCCCAGUAGUC